rnacentral:rRNA from 1 species
GGUAGCAUAAUAAUUUGCCUUUUAAUUGAAGGAUAGAAUGAAAGGAGUCACGACUUACCAACUUUCUAGAAUUUACCAUAAUGAACUUUACCAAAAAGUAAAAAGGCUUUUAUAACUAAGAAGGACAACAAGACCCUGACGAACUUAAACCUUAUUUAGCUGGGGCAGCUAAAAAACAAAAACUUCUCAUAAACCUUUACCCUGACCCAAUACUAUUGAUCAUAGAUACAAGUUACCGCAGGGAUAACAGCAUAAUCAGACUCUAGAGACCCUAUCUAAUGUCUGCCAUUUGACCUCGAUGUUGAAUUAAUAAAGCUAUAUUAAGCAAAAAGAAUAAAAGCAGGUCUGUUCGACCUUUAAUAAAUUACAUGAUUUGAGUUCAGACCGGCGCAAGCCAGGUCAGUUUAUAUCCUCUUACAAUCAGUGUUAGUACGAAAGGACCCCACAAAAGUUAAUA